UAUUGGGCAAUGGACGCAAGUCUGACCCAGCAACGCCGCGUGAGUGAUGACGGCCUUCGGGUUGUAAAGCUCUGUCUUCAGGGACGAUAAUGACGGUACCUGAGGAGGAAGCCACGGCUAACUACGUGCCAGCAGCCGCGGUAAUACGUAGGUGGCGAGCGUUGUCCGGAUUUACUGGGCGUAAAGGGAGCGUAGGCGGACUUUUAAGUGAGAUGUGAAAUACUCGGGCUCAACUUGAGUGCUGCAUUUCAAACUGGAAGUCUAGAGUGCAGGAGAGGAGAAUGGAAUUCCUAGUGUAGCGGUGAAAUGCGUAGAGAUUAGGAAGAACACCAGUGGCGAAGGCGAUUCUCUGGACUGUAACUGACGCUGAGGCUCGAAAGCGUGGGGAGCAAACAGG
rnacentral:rRNA from 1 species